rnacentral:rRNA from 1 species
UACGUAGGGAGCGAGCGUUGUCCGGAUUUAUUGGGCGUAAAGCGUGCGUAGGCGGCUGCGCAAGUCGGUUGUGAAACCCCGGGGCUCAACCCCGGAACUGCAUCCGAUACUGCGUGGCUAGAGGUAGGUAGGGGAGAUCGGAAUUCCUGGUGUAGCGGUGAAAUGCGCAGAUAUCAGGAGGAACACCGGUGGCGAAGGCGGAUCUCUGGGCCUUACCUGACGCUCAGGCACGAAAGCUAGGGGAGCAAACAGG